GUCCUGUUGUUGUGUCUGCAAGUUCUUUGACUCCAUUUUGAAGCAAACACCGCAAGAUGUGACGGUGUGAAGCACUGCAAGUGGUGGGCACCUCUCACUGGGUUGCGAGAAGUGAGUUAUUCUGAUUUCUCUCACAUCGAUGUUCUUGUGCUUCAAGUAGUUGUUGUUGUUCUCUUCUGGGUAUAAAUCAACCUCACCCAACACCACAUCCCCCUUGUACACCACCGAUUUAUACAUUUCUGUUUUUUCUUUUUUCGUUCCCUUCAAAUCUCAAGCAAGAUUCUUUGGAAUUUCAUCAAGAUUCCGUGGUAAAGUCUUAGAUCCGUGAUCGAAGGUGGUGGUGAUGAUGGCGACGGUGACUGGGAGAAAAAGAAAAAAAAAAUCAAUGUUUUUUUUCAAGAACCCUAACAGCAGUCGAUGAUCGCGAAUCUCUCCCCGAUCGUGAACGGUUUUUGUUUCGCGUGUUCAGAUUUGUUGGUGGCGCUAGCUAGGGUUUGAUGAUUUUGGGGGAUAUUUGAAGAUUUUGUUGUUGUUGAUGAUGAUGAUGAAAAUUGAGGAAGCGGAGUCGUCAGAAAGAGAAACCCUAGAUCCAGAAAACGAAAGGUCAAAAAAUAGUACUACUACUUCCAAUUGCGUAAGCCGCUGCCAAAUAAAUNNAAG